rnacentral:rRNA from 1 species
CUACGGGAUGCUGCAGUAAGGAAUAUUGGUCAAUGGACGAAAGUCUGAACCAGCCAUGCCGCGUGAAGGAUUAAGGUCCUCUGGAUUGUAAACUUCUUUUAUAUGGGACGAAAAAAGGUCUUUCUAGAUCACUUGACGGUACCAUAUGAAUAAGCACCGGCUAACUCGCGUGCCAGCAGCUGCGGUAAUACGGAGGGUGCAAGCGUUAUCCGGAUUCACUGGGUUUAAAGGGUGCGUAGGCGGGCAGGUAAGUCAGUGGUGAAAUCCUGGAGCUCAACUCCAGAACUGCCAUUGAUACUAUCUGUCUUGAAUAUUGUGGAGGGAAGCGGAAUAUGUCAUGUAGCGGUGAAAUGCUUAGAUAUGACAUAGAACACCCAUUGCGAAGGCAGCUUACUACGCAUAUAUUGACGCUGAGGCACGAAAGCGUGGGGAUCAAACAGGAUUAGAUACCCCCGUAGUC